rnacentral:rRNA from 2 species
ACAGGGAUUGCCCUAGUAACGGCGAGUGAAGCGGCAACAGCUCAAAUUUGAAAUCUGGCGUCUUUGGCGUCCGAGUUGUAAUUUGCAGAGGGCGCUUUGGCAUUGGCAGCGGUCCAAGUUCCUUGGAACAGGACGUCACAGAGGGUGAGAAUCCCGUACGUGGUCGCUAGCCUUUACCGUGUAAAGCCCCUUCGACGAGUCGAGUUGUUUGGGAAUGCAGCUCUAAAUGGGAGGUAAAUUUCUUCUAAAGCUAAAUACUGGCCAGAGACCGAUAGCGCACAAGUAGAGUGAUCGAAAGAUGAAAAGCACUUUGGAAAGAGAGUUAAAAAGCACGUGAAAUUGUUGAAAGGGAAGCGCUUGCAGCCAGACUUGCCUGUAGUUGCUCAUCCGGGUUUCUACCCGGUGCACUCUUCUAUAGGCAGGCCAGCAUCAGUUUGGGCGGUUGGAUAAAGGUCUCUGUCAUGUACCUCCUUUCGGGGAGAACUUAUAGGGGAGACGACAUGCAACCAGCCUGGACUGAGGUCCGCGCAUCUGCUAGGAUGCUGGCGUAAUGGCUGUAAGCGGCCCGUCUUGAAACACGGACCAAGGAGUCUAACAUCUAUGCGAGUGUUUGGGUGUCAAGCCCGAACGCGUAAUGAAAGUGAACGGAGGUGGGAACCUUUCGGGGUGCACCAUCGACCGAUCCUGAUGUCUUCGGAUGGAUUUGAGUAAGAGCAUAGCUGUUGGGACCCGAAAGAUGGUGAACUAUGCUUGAAUAGGGUGAAGCCAGAGGAAACUCUGGUGGAGGCUCGCAGCGGUUCUGACGUGCAAAUCGAUCGUCAAAUUUGGGCAUAGGGGCGAAAGACUAAUCGAACUAUCUAGUAGCUGGUUCCUGCCGAAGUUUCCCUCAGGAUAGCAGUAACGUUUUCAGUUUUAUGAGGUAAAGCGAAUGAUUAGAGGCCUGGGGGUUGAAACAACCUU